GACCAGGUCGCGGGUUCCCUGGCCAUGCCCAGCGGGCCGAGGGAAAGGCUCCGACGGGGCUGCCCGGGUCCUGGCGCACGUCUGCGGACCGACCCUGGGCAUGAAAAGGUCACAGCCGCCAGGGCUGCGUCUCCGACGGUGGCCACCCUAGGUGUGCCGAUCCCGAGAAGCCGGGACCCCGGGUAACCGGCUGCUCAGCGAAGCCUGCCCCCUCCUCGAGUCCGACGGCAGGGCUUCCCGGUCCUGGGAACCCUGUCUGGGCGCUGCUGACCCAUCUCUCUUGUCGGAUGUCAGAGGGGCUAAUGUGGUUUCCAAAACUGGGAGAGAGGACGAAAGGAAGAGCCUGCGCUCUGUACUUGCUUCAAGGAGACGCAAGAAUCAGAGAACUGGCCCCCGCCCAAGACUGUAAGUGAUGGUCCAAGGAUGGGGUGUACCUGUGGGAACUUUGUGUUGCCUGAAGAGGACCCUGGUUUCAGGACUGGGGUCACACAGUACAGCAGGUGCCCUGGCUGAUGGGCGCAGCCUCACCAGGAACUGCCAAGGUGGUCAUACCCCAAGAGGCCUUCAGGUGUGGUUGGUAGCGAAGGAGGGGCCUCUUUGCCUCAGGUGGAACAGCUUUGCAGUGGCAGUCAUGCUCUGUGGCUGCCCGUGGGAUCAGGCUGAGAAAUCUUUAUGAGUAGCUGCUCAAAAGGAUGGGAAGCACUUGGCGUAAUAGUCCUAAGAAAAUCAUCCUGUCUCAACCAGAGCUUGAUCUUCUGCCUGCUGCUCUCAGGCUUGAUCAUGAGACUUGCUUUGGCCAACAACCUGCGAGUGGAGGUGAUAUUUGCUGUUUCUGGGCAGAAGCUCUAAGAGCUAGCCCAUAGUUCUCCACGUCCUCUCCCUGAAUCUGUCUUUGUUAGGAUGUCAGCUUGGGUUCUCAGUGAUUCAAAGCUGGUUGUUGACCCAGGAUGGAUGUGCACGAUUUUUAUUGUAUUCUUGCACAGAGAGUACAAGAGCAAUAUCAAGAAACACACAGCUCUAAGGUAUGCAUUUCCUAUGGAUAAUUCUUCCAGGUUUAAAGGAAAGUCAUCAAUAGAUUGAUUUGAUAUUUUUGAUUUGAAGUUCGGGGUCAGCUCCUGUCAACUGUGACUGUGGUGAAAGUCAGUGGGGUGUUAGAACCACUUGAGCCUUGAAGACACACACCUGGAUCUGCAUCUUAGUUAUGUGCAUUUGGGCAAAUAUUCCUGUUACCCUCGUUUUUUCAAUAUAGAAAAUGGAUAUAAUGGUAUAGUCUUCCCUGUUAUAGAUUCAAAAAAGUAAGACUGGAGUUCCCAUCGUGGCGCAGUGGAGACGAAUCCAACUAGGAACCAUGGGGUUGUGGGUUCCAUCCCUGGCCUUUCUCAGUGGGUUAAGGAUCUGGCAUUGCCAUGAGCUGUGGUGUGGGUUGCAGAUGCAGCUCAGAUCCUGCAUUGUUGUGGCUGUGGUGUAGGCCGGCAGCUGUAGCUCCGAUUCAGCCCUAGCCUGGAAACCUCCACAUGCGGCAGGUGUGGCCCUAAGAAGCAAAAAAGAAAAAAAAAAUUUUUUUUGGACUUUUGUUUUAAUCAAGAUAACUAGAGCAGUGCCUGACACCACAUAUUCAAUAAAUAUUUGUUGAAUGAAUGAAUGAUUGAAUGAAUGAAACAGUUACAUAAACCAUAUGAGUUUGAAUCUAUUUCUGGAUCCCUCAUUCUCUUCUACUGCUUUGUCUAUUCCUGGAAUACCACUAAAUCAGUCAGUGCAAUGAUCUGUCAGAAACCAUAUUUGUGUGGUGUGUGUGUGUUCUUUAGAAUAUUGUUCAUUUUUAAAACAAAUGCAUCCAAUGAAGUAAAUACAUUUUCAUCUUUUAAUUUACAUUAAUGUAUUUAUGUAUUUCCCACAACUGAUAUCACACUAGCUGUAUGUUACAUCACCUCUGAAUAAAUGACUGAAUUAGGACAAGACAAACAGUGGAACAAUUUUUUAAAUCAAGGAUAAUAAUCACCAAGCAACUGAGAGCCAUGUAACUUAAAAGAUGCUCAAUUGGUUUUUUAUUUCAUGCAUUUCUGGUUUUGUUACAGCCUCUCUCUUCCAGCCUGGACUUUUAAAUGAGAAAUAAAGCUUCAAACAAAGGAAAGAACAAGAGAUGUAGGAUAAUUUUGUCAAUAGGAAGUUUGUAAUCUAAAGAGAGAGACCAGCCACAAAACUGUAUUAUCUCCUGGGUGCAGCAAUAAGAUACUAUGUAAAAUCCCCGAAUGUGUAGCACAAUGGGCAAAUGCAAGUAGAUAAUAAGGAACAAAAUAUGUCUAAGUAGACCCAAUUCGGAAGUCAAGGCAGGGAGAAUCAGGGCGAAUGGGCAUUUUCAAGAGAGGCUUCUAUCAAUCUUGAGGUAAGGGCUAUUGAUCCCACAGUGGCAUACUCAGAUCAGAGUCUUAAUAGCAUCUUAGAAACAGGAAAACCACUAUGUAUCUUUGCAAAAUACUCACCAUACUAUGCUAUAUAGCAUCAAUUCUGACGGCAGGUAGGUGAAAACUUAGCCCAUUGAUGUUCUGGAUGAGUGUAAAUUCUUUGUUAUUGCUUGAAGGAAACAGCACUGUUGUAGCUUUGGGAGUUUUAUAUUUCCAAGGAUGAUAAAAAGAUCCUUUGCAUAAGGUUUUGCUUUUGCUGUUGUGGAUUCUGAGUCUUGCACCCCAUAUAUCCUACAAAGAGGCUGGAGGUCCCAGGCCAGCAAGAGUUCUGGCGGAGGUGCAGUAGAAGUUGUGUGGCAGAUUAGGGAGGAACUGGGCUUUUCAGUCCUGGUAUUGCCUCUCAUUAGCUCAACAACUUUGGACAAUUCCCACACUUAUUUUACAGUGUGCUUGGAUAUAAGUGUGUAAACCAUGCUUCUAUCGUCUGUAAAUCUGAUGCUUUACUAUCUGCCUCAUGUGUACAUGCUGGACAUGCCUUGCUCUGGGCGGCCCAGUAACGAGCCUCGUCACCUUCCCUGGCCCCUCCCCCCUCGCUCCCUCUCCAGCCCCUUCAGAAGGAGCCCUCUCCCCAGGCACACUUCUGCAGUGCAGACCAGCCAAUCCAGAGUCCAUACCACCAAUCACAUCCUUUCUCAGCCUCUGCCACUUGGGACCCUGCACCUUUGUCCCAGUGACCCCAGGGCUAGAUCCCAGUUAGCGGCAUUUCCUCUGCCCAGAGCACUCAUCAGUCCUAACCCUACUCACUCUGUCUCCUUAGUCCUUUCUGUGGCAAUCGCAAUACACAUCUGGAUCACUGUUCCCCACCCCCUCUGCUUAAUGACCAGCCUGGCACUUGCUCCUCCCUGGACCUGCCUUCCCAGUAGCAGCCGUCUCCUGAUCUGGUGGCCUCACUCUACCUCUGACUUUCUGUUAAUACACUCUAUUGUAAAGCAGGGAGGAACUGACUUAAGUCUGCUUAACUGUCGUGGAGGCUCAGAAGGAUGAGAACAGGGAACUGUAGAGAAUGUUUUUCUAGGUCUCAGGGGCCACUUGGCUCUGCUCUGCUCUGCUCUGCAUACCUGCUAUUCCUUGUGCUUUCAGAGAGCUGGCUUCCUUUGCUGUCCUGAGCAUGAUUCAUUUGAGUUGCCCUUGGCUGACAAGUCUGUUCAAAUCCAGCAUUCAUACCUUACUCCCUUGGGUUUUUCAUGUCCUUCUUCCAAAUCCCUGUGGGAAAAGAAGUCUGAUCUGGCCAGUCCAGGCUUGGAUCAGCUGUCCAUUCAUCAGCUGCAGACAUGCUUACAGACAGGGAGUGGGGGCUGCAGGGCUGUGCACCAAUGUCUAGGACCUCAGGACUUUUGCAGUAUUUUUCAAAAAAGCAUUUAAAGCGAUUCCAU
rnacentral:lncRNA from 1 species